AGCUUCAAUAGUGUAUAUUAAAGUUGUUGCGGUUAAAAAGCUCGUAGUUGGAAUUCUGCCAAGGCUGACAGGUCCAUCCAUUGGGUGAGCACCUGGCUUGGCUGAGGCAUCUUCUUGGAGAGCGCGGCUGCGCUUUACUGUGCGGCACGCUGUCCAGGGCCUUUACUUUGAGGAAAUUAGAGUGUUUCAAGCAGGUUCAUGCCUUGAAUAUAUUAGCAUGGAAUAAUAAGACAGGGCUGUGGUUGUAUUUUGUUGGUUUCUAGAACUGUGGCAACGAUGAAUAGGAACACUUGGGGGCAUACGAAUUCAACCGUCAGAGGUGAAAUUCUUGGAUUUGUUGAAGACGUCCUAUUGUGAAAGCAUUUGUCAUGAAUGUUUUCA
rnacentral:rRNA from 1 species